UACGGGGGGGCAAGCGUUGUUCGGAAUUACUGGGCGUAAAGGGCUCGUAGGCGGCCAACUAAGUCGGAUGUGAAAUCCCCAGGCUCAACCUGGGAACUGCAUCCGAUACUGGAUGGCUUGAAUCCGGGAGAGGGAUGCAGAAUUCCCGGUGUAGAGGUGAAAUUCGUAGAUAUCUGGAGGAAUACCGGUGGCGAAGGCGGCAUCCUGGACCGG
rnacentral:rRNA from 1 species